rnacentral:miRNA from 1 species
UUAGGAUAGAAGCACAUUUUGGA